rnacentral:rRNA from 1 species
UACGAAGGGGGGCUAGCGUUGCUCGGAAUCACUGGGCGUAAAGCGCACGUAGGCGGAAUGCUAAGUCAGGGGUGAAAUCCUGGAGCUCAACUCCAGAACUGCCCUUGAUACUGGCGGUCUCGAGUCCGGGAGAGGUGAGUGGAACUGCGAGUGUAGAGGUGAAAUUCGUAGAUAUUCGCAAGAACACCAGUGGCGAAGGCGGCUCACUGGCCCGGUACUGACGCUGAGGUGCGAAAGCGUGGGGAGCAAACAGG